GGGGACCUACAGAGCUGAAGCCAUGCCUUGACCACUUGGGUAUCAUCUGGGAGGAAGAAUUCAAGCAAGUCUCUUUAGUGGGUAGCUCCCUUCAGUGAGAGGAACCCCAGUGACCUCCCACUUCCUUUUCACAACCUCCCACCCCAGGAGCCUGGACAUCAAAUCUCUUCUGAGUAAAGGGCACUUUUUUCUGAGCCUCUGCUUGGCCUCUUUGAUCUUGGGGGGAACUUCUGCCUGUGCCAUUGUAGAUCCUUGCACUGCAGGGCUCACCUGGCCUCUGCUCAAGCAGAACGCAGCACUCCUGCUCUCCAUUCCUCAUAACUAGCACAGCACUUUGGCAUGAUGACCCUGGAUGCACCUGUGGAUGCUGACGAGAAGGCUGUGCUCCGCCAGUCCUGCCCACAGCCCUAGCCUCAGGAGAACUACAAGUAGACUGUAAUUGUGAACAGGUUAUGUGCAAUUUAUAACCUGUAACAAAGAAUCUUUAUUUACAACAAAUCUCAUCUUUAGGACAAAGACGAAAAAUAGAGCUGGAAAACCCUAUUUUGUCAAUGAUUCUGGUUAAUUAUAAUUUCCAAAUUGGGUGAGCUGUCUGAUUAAUGCAAGCAACUUUGGGGGAAUAAGUAAUAAUAAUAGUAACAAUAACAAAGAAGAGGAGAAGCAGCAGCUGCUGCAGUUGCUGUCUGGU
rnacentral:lncRNA from 1 species